rnacentral:tRNA from 1 species
GGUGGCUCAGUGGUAGAGUGCUUGCCUCGUAUGCAUGACACCCUGGGUUUGAUCUCUCAGCACCA